UGAGUGCGAGCUUCUACGGAAGCGAAGUUGGUGACGUCAAGCUUCCAAGAAAAGCCCUAUACCCGUUAAGGCAUGAUUACCUGUACCCGAAACCGACACAGGUGGGGUGGUAGAGAAUACCGAGGGGCGCGAGGUAACUCUCUCUAAGGAACUCGGCAAAAUGACCCCGUAACUUCGGGAGAAGGGGUGCCAGCGCGAGCUGGUCGCAGUGAAUAGGCCCAGGCGACUGUUUACCAAAAACACAGGUCUCCGCUAAGUCGCAAGACGAUGUAUGGGGGCUGACGCCUGCCCAGUGCCGGAAGGUUAAAGAAGUUGGUCAGCGCAAGCGAAGCUAACGACUGAAGCCCCGGUGAACGGCGGCCGUAACAAUAACGGUCCUAAGGUAGCGAAAUUCCUUGUCGGGUAAGUUCCGACCCGCACGAAAGGCGUAACGAUCUGGGCGCUGUCUCGGAGAGAGGCUCGGCGAAAUAGAAUUGUCUGUGAAGAUGCGGACUACGUGCACCCGGACAGAAAGACCCUAUGAAGCUUUACUGUAGCUUGGUAUUGUGCUCGGGCUCGCAAUGCGCAGGAUAGGUGGGAGGCUUUGAUCCAUUGCUUGUGGGUGAUGGUGAGCCACUGGUGAGAUACCACUCUUUGCGAGCUAGGGUUCUAACGGUUACCCGUCAUCCGGGAACCGGACAGUAUCUGGUGGGCAGUUUGACUGGGGCGGUCGCCUCCUAAAAGGUAACGGAGGCGCGCAAAGGUUUGCUCAGGCUGGUUGGAAAUCAGCCGACGAGUGUAAAAGCAGAAGCAAGCUUGACUGUGAGACCUACAAGUCGAACAGGGAGGAAACUCGGCUUUAGUGAUCCGACGGUUCUGAGUGGAAGGGCCGUCGCUCAACGGAUAAAAGUUACUCUAGGAUAACAGGCUGAUCUCCCCCAAGAGUUCACAUCGACGGGGAGGUUUGGCACCUCGAUGUCGGCUCAUCGCAACCUGGGGCUGAAGUCGGUCCCAAGGGUUUGGCUGUUCGCCCAUUAAAGCGGUACGCGAGCUGGGUUCAGAACGUCGUGAGACAGUUCGGUCCAUAUCCGGUGCAUGCGCAGGAAUAUUGAGAGGAUUUCUCCCUAGUACGAGAGGACCGGGAGGAACGCACCUCUGGUGUACCAGUUAUCGUGCCAACGGUAAACGCUGGGUAGCCAUGUGCGGAGUGGAUAACCGCUGAAAGCAUCUAAGUGGGAAGCCCACCUCAAGAUGAGUAUUCCCAUGGCUUAAGCCAGUAAGGUCACGGGAAGAACACCCGUUGAUAGGCUCUAUGUGGAAGCGCAGUAAUGCGUGAAGCAGAGGAGUACUAAUAGACCGAGGGCUUGACCG
rnacentral:rRNA from 1 species